UACGUAGGGUCCGAGCGUUGUCCGGAAUUACUGGGCGUAAAGAGCUCGUAGGUGGUUUGUCGCGUUGUUCGUGAAAACUCACAGCUCAACUGUGGGCGUGCGGGCGAUACGGGCAGACUGGAGUACUGCAGGGGAGACUGGAAUUCCUGGUGUAGCGGUGGAAUGCGCAGAUAUCAGGAGGAACACCGGUGGCGAAGGCGGGUCUCUGGGCAUUAACUGACGCUGAGGAGCGAAAGCAUGGGGAGCGAACAGG
rnacentral:rRNA from 1 species